rnacentral:rRNA from 1 species
UACAGAGGGUGCAAGCGUUGUCCGGAAUCACUGGGCGUAAAGGGCGCGUAGGUGGUUUGGUAAGUGUGUGGUGAAAGCCCGGGGCUCAACCCCGGGUCUGCCGCGCAAACUGCUGAACUUGAGCAUACUAGAGGCAGGUUGAAUUCCCGGUGUAGCGGUGAAAUGCGUAGAGAUCGGGAGGAACACCAGAGGCGAAGGCGGCGACCUGGACAGACACUGACACUCAACUGCGAAAGCGUGGGGAGCAAACAGG